GGCGUUCGGCUGGAAGCAGGAGGGCGGGGACGGUGGGCUCCUGUGCAGGACCCGUAGGUGCCAUUAGCAUCGCGGGAAGGAUGAAAACCCAGCGGUGAAGCAAUUGAAUCUAUCCAGGCUGCAGGAAUAGGGACAGCGCUUCCGAUCUGGAGAGCUGUGUCUGCGCGGGCUGGCUUUGCUUUUUUAAUUUCCAGAGGUAGGAAAAGACAUGAGCUCCUUGUGGAAGGAAGAAGAGGAGGAAGAGGAAGUCUGCAGAAGACUCAGAACAGCACUAAGCCCCUGUGCCCUUCAGGAGGAAGGGGCAGAAGGCUGCCCUCACCUGGCCACACUUCAGUUCACAGCUCAAGCACCCAGAGGCCUGUGAUCUCACCAGGAGUGAAUAUUUAAGCCAAUGUGCAUUCUGUGUCUUCUCUGAGGUCUUCUAGGUCUUGAAGAUGAGACGCCACCUGCUGGGAAAUGUGGGUAUCCCUGUAACAUGGACAAUUCAUGACUGAUGUGUGCCUGGUGGAGUGCAGACCUCACCAUGGGACCACAGUCUUCGAUCAUCCUUCCCUGAAUGAAAGGGAAACACCAAUAUGACUUAGUAGAAAGCUCAAGUUUGGACCUGGCCUGGUCUUACCCAGGACCAUAGACAACCGGAAUGGGAAUUGAAUGAGUUAUAAGAAGGGGCAGCUGUCACCACAGCUGGGCUGAGGGCUGAGGGCAAAGAGCAGGGGCCUCUGUGAAAUUAACAUGCUGGGCCUUAUAACAAGGAGAAGGCGGAGGAGGAGGGAGAAGAUGAUGGUGAAAGCCCCUGCAGAGGACAUGCUCAAGGCUGAUGAGGACACAGAGGGCUCCUGUAAACUGGUGAUGAAUAGAAUUUGCACCUGAGGUGCUGGCUUUGUGAGAAGUCUGAUUCAUGUACAGUGAUCAGCCAGUGUCUGGCAUAGAAUCCUGGCAAGUAAAGGCUGUCAGAACUGUUAUGAAUAGUUGUGUUAGAGUUCUCCACGAAACAAAA